GAAAAAAUAAGGAAAGAGAGAGCACGGGUUGAGAGAGAGACCGAGAGGAAGAAAAAAAAAGGGGAAGAAGAAAGCCUUGUGGGAUACCAAAAUUCAAGCCUAAAAUUGUGGAAAAUUCAUCUCUAGGUCAUGCGCUAUUGUCUGCCUGAUUUAUCUGAUCUGUCCAAUCUGUCUAAUCUGCUGUUAUCUGUUCAGGUGAUAUGCCACCUCCAAGGACAUAGCUUGGGAGUUUCUGGGAGUUGAAG